rnacentral:rRNA from 1 species
UCUCCGGGAAACAGCUAGGACUCUUGUAAAACGGAGGCCAGUCUUGGUCAUUUAGAGGAAGUAAAAGUCGUAACAAGGUCUCCGUAGGUGAACCUGCGGAGGGAUCAUUACACAAAUAUGAAGGCGGGCUGGAACCUCUCGGGGUUACAGCCUUGCUGAAUUAUUCACCCUUGUCUUUUGCGUACUUCUUGUUUCCUUGGUGGGUUCGCCCACCACUAGGACAAACAUAAACCUUUUGUAAUUGCAAUCAGCGUCAGUAACAAAUUAAUAAUUACAACUUUCAACAACGGAUCUCUUGGUUCUGGCAUCGAUGAAGAACGCAGCGAAAUGCGAUAAGUAGUGUGAAUUGCAGAAUUCAGUGAAUCAUCGAAUCUUUGAACGCACAUUGCGCCCUUUGGUAUUCCAAAGGGCAUGCCUGUUCGAGCGUCAUUUGUACCCUCAAGCUUUGCUUGGUGUUGGGCGUCUUGUCUCUAGCUUUGCUGGAGACUCGCCUUAAAGUAAUUGGCAGCCGGCCUACUGGUUUCGGAGCGCAGCACAAGUCGCACUCUCUAUCAGCAAAGGUCUAGCAUCCAUUAAGCCUUUUUUUCAACUUUUGACCUCGGAUCAGGUAGGGAUACCCGCUGAACUUAAGCAUAUCAAUAAGCGGAGGAGUCAUAGCUGUUUCCUGAGUCAUAGCUGUUUCCUGGAGA